AGUGAACGCUGGCGGUAGGCCUAACACAUGCAGGUCGAACGGCAGCACAGUAAGAGCUUGCUCUUACGGGUGGCGAGUGGCGGACGGGUGAGGAAUACAUCGGAAUCUACUUUUUCGUGGGGGAUAACGUAGGGAAACUUACGCUAAUACCGCAUACGACCUACGGGUGAAAGCAGGGGAUCUUCGGACCUUGCGCGAUUGAACGAGCCGAUGUCGGAUUAGCUAGUUGGCGGGGUAAAGGCCCACCAAGGCGACGAUCCGUAGCUGGUCUGAGAGGAUGAUCAGCCACACUGGAACUGAGACACGGUCCAGACUCCUACGGGAGGCAGCAGUGGGGAAUAUUGGACAAUGGGCGCAAGCCUGAUCCAGCCAUACCGCGUGGGUGAAGAAGGCCUUCGGGUUGUAAAGCCCUUUUGUUGGGAAAGAAAAGCAGCAGGUUAAUACCCCGCUGUUCUGACGGUACCCAAAGAAUAAGCACCGGCUAACUUCGUG
rnacentral:rRNA from 1 species